rnacentral:rRNA from 1 species
GACGAACGCUGGCGGCGUGCUUAACACAUGCAAGUCGAACGGAAAGGCCCUGCUUUUGUGGGGUGCUCGAGUGGCGAACGGGUGAGUAACACGUGAGUAACCUGCCCUUGACUUUGGGAUAACUUCAGGAAACUGGGGCUAAUACCGGAUAGGAGCUCCUGCUGAAUGGUGGGGGUUGGAAAGGUUCGGCGGUUGGGGAUGGACUCGCGGCUUAUCAGCUUGUUGGUGGGGUAGUGGCUUACCAAGGCUUUGACGGGUAGCCGGCCUGAGAGGGUGACCGGCAACAUUGGGACUGAGAUACGGCCCAGACUCAUACGGGAGGCAGCAGUGGGGAAUAUUGCGCAAUGGGCGGAAGCCUGAUGCAGCAACGCCGCGUGCGGGAUGACGGCCUUCGGGUUGUAAACCGCUUUCGCCUGUGACGAAGCGUGAGUGACGGUAAUGGGUAAAGAAGCACCGGCUAACUACGUG